GACGAACGCUGGCGGCGUGCCUAAUACAUGCAAGUCGAGCGGACUGAUUCUGCGCUUGCUCUUAUGUCGUUAGCGGCGGACGGGUGAGUAACACGUGUACAACCUCCCCUGUAUAUCGGUAUAACACCGAGAAAUCGGUGCUAAUCCCGUAUAAUAUCUGACUUCACAUGGUCUUAGGUUAAAAGAUGGCUCCUGCUAUUACUCCCGCAUGUUCCCGCGGCGCUUUUGCUAGUUGGUAAGGUAAUGGCUUACCAAGGGGACGAUGCGUAGCCGACCUGGGAGGGUGGUGGGCCACGCGGGGACGGGGAGACGGCCCAGACGCGGACGGGAGGCAGCAGUAGGGAAUCUUGGGCAAUGGACGAAAGCAUGACGGAGCAACGGCGCGUGAGUGAUGAAGGGUUUCGGCCCGGAAAGCUCUGUUGUUAGGGAAUAAAAAGUACAGAACGAACUAGGUAGGUAACUUGACGGUACCUAACCAGAAAGCCACGGCUAACUACGUG
rnacentral:rRNA from 1 species